rnacentral:tRNA from 1 species
GUCUCGUUAGUGGAAUGUUCAAACACGGCAGGCCGGAUAUCUGAAAAUGUGGGUUCGAGUCCCGCCUGAGGUU